AAAAGUAAAAAAGUAAUUUUCUUCGCUUGCAUAUAUUUUUAGAUACUUGCUGCAUUAGAUUUUUUGGUUUUUAUUUGAUUUGAACCGUUCAGAUUCAAAUCUUACAUUCUACAAAUCUUGCAAGUUUCUUUUCUUUUUUCACUUUCGUAUGUUCUUUCUUCACAUUCAGACUUCUGACCAAUCAACUGAGAGGGGCGUGGCAUCACGCCAGUGACAAAGUUCUGUUUAGCGAGCGGUUUUGGAUCCUAGUUGCCACACAUCACAGAAUACGCAAGCAACUAUCUCAGAUUGUACCAUUCAACAACCACACAUGAAUCUCUAGUUUCCCACUUCCACAUAAGACUGUGAAUGCAGCAUAGCAUCCGCGCAAUGGCGGGGAAGUUGGCUGAAUAUUCCGUUUCGGACCUCCCGGUUCAAUAGCUCGUCAGGGAAACACAAACGACACCACUCUGUAACCAUGGUGAUGGCGCUUUGCAGAUGGUCCCUGCGCACUCGUCUUACAGGCGACCGCACUUUGAGACCAGUGUGAUUCGUCCAGCUCCGUAUUGGUGAAAUGAUGGUUAAUUUGACAUCACUACGGUUACAGAAGUGUCGUUUGUGUCUUAGCAACGCUUGGCUGAUGAGCUAUUGAACCAGGAAGUCCAAAUCCGUUCUUAGCCUUAUUUGUUUAGGAGUCACUCAUGAUGCCACGCCCCUCACUUGAUGCCACGCCCCCUACACCACAUCCAGGUCAAAAGUGUCAUUGUAAAAAAAAAAGAAAAUCAAAAAGUGAAAAAAUAUUUAGUGAAGAAUGAAAAAAUAUAUUAUAUUCAAAAGAAAUAUAACUGAGUGAAAACUACAUUCAACACGAAAACAUUUUUCGUCCUCUGGUUUUUAUUUUGAAUUCAUUGUUGUAUUUUUCAACCAAAAAGAAGAAGAAAAUAAAUUAAACUCCCAGGUUCACAUUUGUUUUUCACAUGAUCAAAACUUUUGGCCUGGAUUUGGCUCCAUAUGGUUUGUGGUGAUUCUUCAGCUGGUUGAACAAGUUGGUUGUGUUGCUAUGCGGCGCAGACACAACUCCAAGGAACGUGCACAUGCUCUGUUCUUGGUUACAUCACUAAAACUUCCAGACCGCGGAUGACGAUCCUUUGGGGGAGCAGCUCGUCGCCUUCUGCUGCUGACAUUUGAUGUAGCGGUCACAGCGUGUAGUCGGCUCUGUGGUCUCCUUUCGGGCUCUACUCUUCUACUAACAGCAGAGUCCACUGCAGACAACGUUCUCUUCCCACCUCCUCCUCCUAGUGGGAGGAUGAGGAAUGGCUUGAUUGGUGUAGCAGAGCACGCAUCUUAAACGUCAAUGUCGCUGACGAUCAAUUAAAUCGUGGCUGACGGUUCCGAAUGAAUGUUCACGUCAUCUUCAUAAAUGACUAUAUCUAAGUAAAAGGACAACAUCCAGUAUUUUUGAUGGUCUACGGACGAUGAAAACAAUAACAUGAAAGACAUGCAUCUGUCAAUAUUGAUCAUCAAUAAUUUGAAUCGUUCAUAUCUGUGGCAAAAAAAACAUGAUCAGAGAUCGUUAAGUUACAUUUACUCCUUUUUUCUUUGGUGCUGAUCAUUGAUGUGAUCAGUAAUCUGAUCUGAGAUCAACGAGUUGAACUGCGGAGUUGAACGGCUGAACCGGUGUUACAUUUAUUUAUUUAUGGUGACAUUUCCUGCUACUGUCACUAUUAUUAAUAGUAAGGUGAUUACUUUUAAUGGCACCACUACUUCCUGUUAUUGUUGUUAUCCGACCACUGCUGCUAUUAUUAGUAGUCAUUUGCAAUCAUUACUACUCUCAGUAUUUGAAUCAUUUACGUUGUUCAUUCUGUACACGCAGGGGGGUAUUAUUUAUUAUUAUUGAAGUUUUUUUGGGGGAGUUUUUCUUGUUACAACAUGAGGGUCAAAGGUCAGAGUAUAUUACAUGUGUACUGACUGUAAAGCCCUCUAAGGAUAAUUUGUUAUUUUGGGCUACAUAGGGGGGGCAAGAGGACAAGAACACCAGAGAAGAAAAGGACCAGAAGACAAGAGGAGUCAAGAAGAGAAGACAAGGAGGCAAAAAAGACAAGAGGUUAAGGAGGAAAAGUGGGCAGGGACACAAGAGGGCAAGAUGAAGAGAGGACCAGAGAAAUAAACAUCAGAAGACAAGAGGACAAUGAGAAGAGAGGACAAGGAGAGGAAACCACAUGAGGGCCAAGUCAAGAGGACUAGACGACCAGAAAACAAGACAAGGAGGAGGAAAGAGAUGGACACCAAGAACACCAGAAGACAUGGGACAGAAUAGACAUGGAUACUGCAUUCUGCCUGAGUAAUGUGCAACAACCUGCCCGAAGCAAAGCUCGAGCCUGUGAGGCCACCGGGCCGCCUGCGGACGAACAACUGCCUCAGGAACCUACAGGGGAAUCGAACCAGCAACCUUGAAAACUCAAGACCCAAACUUCAGUCUGAAAACGUUUCCUAUUCAGCCUGCAUUAGGGUUCGUGCUAGCGCGCUACCUUUUGUCUGCUGGCUGUCACACCUGGCCAGGUGAGCGCGUGCACACCACCGCUCCAUGACUCACAGCGAUCUCACACACUCGCGCACACAUACACACACACACUAGCUAACCGGCUAGCUUACACAUCAGUGUGAUUUGAGGCUAUACGAUUGAUGCUAAUGGACGCAGCGGCUAACGCGCAGCUAGCUCCCAGCUAACGUAAAGCUAACAAACCGCUAGCACGCAGCUAGCUCGGGUGGACGGGAGGUGGCGGGCGGCUGGCACAGAGAAAGAGAAGUUCCCAUACGAGACGAACACAAAAGUGCCCCGGCCGAGAGAAGGAGACACCGUGUCCUCUUCCACGUUAGCAUCGAUGCUAUGUAGCGAGCUAGCAUCCUCCGCUAGCCGUGUAAUGUUGUAAAUACGUUAUAUGUGCCGUCUCCUCUGCACAUGUGGACAGCCUCCAGACUACAGUCUACCGACAAACACCCCCGGUGAACCGCUCACCUGCUCCGGACACUGGACCCUCUCACCGGCGACACAUCACCCCGGUGCGCACGGAAAAUAGAACGAAAACCACUGGCGCUUUUUAUUUCCAAGGACACAAAAUCGCCAUGACAGUUUAGAAAAAUGCAUAAAAAAUUAGCGGUGAGGGGAGGGAGGGGAGAGAGAGAGAGAUGGGGAGGGGAGAGAGAGGGAUGUGGAGGGAGGGAGGGAGAAGGGAAGGAAAGUGGAGGGAGGGCACAAGGAGGAGUGCAACUCGGAGCUAUUUAAUCCACUUUUGAAGCAAACAGUCGUUUAUUGAGCCUGGACGCGCGCGACCCGCUUCCAUAAGUUAAAAUGGCCACUGCGGCGCAACACAAACCGCUUCUUCUCUUAUUUUGGUCGAAGUUUUCUCGCAGCUGCAGCCAAAGCUCACGUGCUUCCAUUGGCUGCAGGCGCGCGCAGCUGGCGCCUCGUGCACGUUUCCAUUGGCCCCUCAGCUGUCAUUUAAGCGGAGCCCCCCAUUGAACGUGGUCCCGGGGUUUGUCUGAGAGCGAUUCCAGGCAGCGACCAUUAUGUACCGUACGCGCUGUCCUCCCUCCCCGGUGACGCGCACGCACACCGCCUUUUGUUUGUUGUGUACGUGCUCGUGUUGUUGCUCAGACCUGCAGGUGAUCCUCAUCCUGCACCGCUGGACCCUUCUGUGAAGGUUCUGUGGAGACAAAGGAGGGCUGUUCUCCUCUGCUAGGACAGCCAGCCUCACCUGGUGGAGACAUCACACCUCUCUGCACUAAGACAACUGACCACAUGUGCAGACUGCGAGAAGGAGGACCAGUGAGACCAGUUGGUACCCAACCUGAGUGGGAGACUACUGGUAGACAGACAGGUUGACAAGAAGACUAAACAGGCAGACAGACUGGUAGACAGACAGGUGAACAAGAAGACUAAACAGGCAGACAGACUGGUAGACAGACAGGUGAACAAGAAGGCUGGUAAGAAGGUAGAUGUUGGGAAAGCUUUAAAUAAUGUUUACACCUCAAUAUUACACAAAGUGUCUCUGAGAGACACUUUGUCUCUCAGAGACACUUUGUGUUCUGGUUCCACUGAUAUUCAAGAUGUUUGUGAGUCAAUGUCCAGAUAAUCUAGUGGUGCAUGAGGUGGAGAAGAUGCUGGUCUAUCUCCACGGUGGAUUACUGGUGGGUCUAUUUUCCAGCUAUAUAUUACUGUACCAGAGAAACAUUCCUUCUUUUAGAGUAUCAUAUGUUGUCCAUUCUGUCUCCUACUUCAAGUGUCAUUUAAUAAAUGUCCUGUUUACACUGGUGUCAAGUAACCUUUUUUUAACAGUAGAAGAAUGCAGGUAGGUAUCAAUGCUAAUGACACCAAUAGCUGGUUCUAGAGGUAUGAUGUCAUAAAGAUGUUCAAAAUAAAGCAAACUGAGAUGGAAGUGCAUUUAAUCAGAUCCUAGAAAGGUCAGCCAAUAUAUUUCACAACUUUAUGACUU
ensembl:lncRNA